UACGGGGGGGGCGAGCGUUAUUCGGAAUUAUUGGGCGUAAAGGGCGUGUAGGCGGCUUCGUGUGUCUCCUGUGAAAGCCCUCGGCUCAACCGAGGAACUGCAGGAGAAACUACGGAGCUCGAGUCCGGGAGAGGAGAGCGGAAUUCCCAGUGUAGCGGUGAAAUGCGUAGAUAUUGGGAGGAACACCAGUGGCGAAGGCGGCUCUCUGGACCGGUACUGACGCUGAGACGCGAAAGCGUGGGGAGCGAACAGG
rnacentral:misc_RNA from 1 species